rnacentral:rRNA from 1 species
CGGGACACGUGGUAUCCUGUCUGAAUAUGGGGGGACCAUCCUCCAAGGCUAAAUACUCCUGACUGACCGAUAGUGAACCAGUACCGUGAGGGAAAGGCGAAAAGAACCCCGGCGAGGGGAGUGAAAAAGAACCUGAAACCGUGUACGUACAAGCAGUGGGAGCACGCUUAGGCGUGUGACUGCGUACCUUUUGUAUAAUGGGUCAGCGACUUAUAUUCUGUAGCAAGGUUAACCGAAUAGGGGAGCCGAAGGGAAACCGAGUCUUAACUGGGCGUUAAGUUGCAGGGUAUAGACCCGAAACCCGGUGAUCUAGCCAUGGGCAGGUUGAAGGUUGGGUAACACUAACUGGAGGACCGAACCGACUAAUGUUGAAAAAUUAGCGGAUGACUUGUGGCUGGGGGUGAAAGGCCAAUCAAACCGGGAGAUAGCUGGUUCUCCCCGAAAGCUAUUUAGGUAGCGCCUCGUGAAUUCAUCUCCGGGGGUAGAGCACUGUUUCGGCAAGGGGGUCAUCCCGACUUACCAACCCGAUGCAAACUGCGAAUACCGGAGAAUGUUAUCACGGGAGACACACGGCGGGUGCUAACGUCCGUCGUGAAGAGGGAAACAACCCAGACCGCCAGCUAAGGUCCCAAAGUCAUGGUUAAGUGGGAAACGAUGUGGGAAGGCCCAGACAGCCAGGAUGUUGGCUUAGAAGCAGCCAUCAUUUAAAGAAAGCGUAAUAGCUCACUGGUCGAGUCGGCCUGCGCGGAAGAUGUAACGGGGCUAAACCAUGCACCGAAGCUGCGGCAGCGACGCUGAUGCGUUGUUGGGUAGGGGAGCGUUCUGUAAGCCUGUGAAGGUGUGCUGUGAGGCAUGCUGGAGGUAUCAGAAGUGCGAAUGCUGACAUAAGUAACGAUAAAGCGGGUGAAAAGCCCGCUCGCCGGAAGACCAAGGGUUCCUGUCCAACGUUAAUCGGGGCAGGGUGAGUCGACCCCUAAGGCGAGGCCGAAAGGCGUAGUCGAUGGGAAACAGGUUAAUAUUCCUGUACUUGGUGUUACUGCGAAGGGGGGACGGAGAAGGCUAUGUUGGCCGGGCGACGGUUGUCCCGGUUUAAGCGUGUAGGCUGGUUUUCCAGGCAAAUCCGGAAAAUCAAGGCUGAGGCGUGAUGACGAGGCACUACGGUGCUGAAGCAACAAAUGCCCUGCUUCCAGGAAAAGCCUCUAAGCAUCAGGUAACAUCAAAUCGUACCCCAAACCGACACAGGUGGUCAGGUAGAGAAUACCAAGGCGCUUGAGAGAACUCGGGUGAAGGAACUAGGCAAAAUGGUGCCGUAACUUCGGGAGAAGGCACGCUGAUAUGUAGGUGAAGCGACUUGCUCGUGGAGCUGAAAUCAGUCGAAGAUACCAGCUGGCUGCAACUGUUUAUUAAAAACACAGCACUGUGCAAACACGAAAGUGGACGUAUACGGUGUGACGCCUGCCCGGUGCCGGAAGGUUAAUUGAUGGGGUCAGCGCAAGCGAAGCUCUUGAUCGAAGCCCCGGUAAACGGCGGCCGUAACUAUAACGGUCCUAAGGUAGCGAAAUUCCUUGUCGGGUAAGUUCCGACCUGCACGAAUGGCGUAAUGAUGGCCAGGCUGUCUCCACCCGAGACUCAGUGAAAUUGAACUCGCUGUGAAGAUGCAGUGUACCCGCGGCAAGACGGAAAGACCCCGUGAACCUUUACUAUAGCUUGACACUGAACAUUGAGCCUUGAUGUGUAGGAUAGGUGGGAGGCUUUGAAGUGUGGACGCCAGUCUGCAUGGAGCCGGCCUUGAAAUACCACCCUUUAAUGUUUGAUGUUCUAACGUUGACCCGUGAUCCGGGUUGCGGACAGUGUCUGGUGGGUAGUUUGACUGGGGCGGUCUCCUCCUAAAGAGUAACGGAGGAGCACGAAGGUUGGCUAAUCCUGGUCGGACAUCAGGAGGUUAGUGCAAUGGCAUAAGCCAGCUUGACUGCGAGCGUGACGGCGCGAGCAGGUGCGAAAGCAGGUCAUAGUGAUCCGGUGGUUCUGAAUGGAAGGGCCAUCGCUCAACGGAUAAAAGGUACUCCGGGGAUAACAGGCUGAUACCGCCCAAGAGUUCAUAUCGACGGCGGUGUUUGGCACCUCGAUGUCGGCUCAUCACAUCCUGGGGCUGAAGUAGGUCCCAAGGGUAUGGCUGUUCGCCAUUUAAAGUGGUACGCGAGCUGGGUUUAGAACGUCGUGAGACAGUUCGGUCCCUAUCUGCCGUGGGCGCUGGAGAACUGAGGGGGGCUGCUCCUAGUACGAGAGGACCGGAGUGGACGCAUCACU